rnacentral:misc_RNA from 1 species
UCUCCGUUGGUGAACCAGCGGAGGGAUCAUUAUAGAGUUAUUACAACUCCCAACCCUAUGUGAACAUACCUAUCGUUGCCUCGGCGGCGCGGUCCGGCCCUGCCACCCCGAAGUGCUUACCCUGUAGGCGCUACCCGGUGGUCAGGGUAGGCCCGCCCGCCGGCGGCCCCACCAAACUCUUGUUUUUAGUGUCUCUUCUGAGUUAAACAAACAAAUGAAUCAAAACUUUCAACAACGGAUCUCUUGGUUCUGGCAUCGAUGAAGAACGCAGC